GUUUGGUUAAGUUAGAAAGGGCGCACGGUGGAUGCCUUGACACUAGGAGUCGAUGAAGGACGGGACUAACGCCGAUAUGCUUCGGGGAGCUGUAAGUAAGCUUUGAUCCGAAGAUUUCCGAAUGGGGAAACCCACCAUACGUAAUGGUAUGGUAUCCUUAUCUGAAUACAUAGGGUAAGGAAGACAGACCCAGGGAACUGAAACAUCUAAGUACCUGGAGGAAGAGAAAGCAAAUGCGAUUUCCUGAGUAGCGGCGAGCGAAACGGAACAUAGCCCAAACCAAGAGGCUUGCCUCUUGGGGUUGUAGGACAUUCUAUACGGAGUUACAAAGGAACGAGGUAGACGAAGCGACCUGGAAAGGUCCGUCGUAGAGGGUAACAACCCCGUAGUCGAAACUUCGUUCUCUCUUGAAUGUAUCCUGAGUACGGCGGAACACGUGAAAUUCCGUCGGAAUCUGGGAGGACCAUCUCCCAAGGCUAAAUACUCCCUAGUGAUCGAUAGUGAACCAGUACCGUGAGGGAAAGGUGAAAAGCACCCCGGAAGGGGAGUGAAAGAGAUCCUGAAACCGUGUGCCUACAAAUAGUCAGAGCCCGUUAACGGGUGAUGGCGUGCCUUUUGUAGAAUGAACCGGCGAGUUACGAUCCCGUGCGAGGUUAAGCUGAAGAGGCGGAGCCGCAGCGAAAGCGAGUCUGAAUAGGGCGUUUAGUACGUGGUCGUAGACCCGAAACCAGGUGAUCUACCCAUGUCCAGGGUGAAGUUCAGGUAACACUGAAUGGAGGCCCGAACCCACGCACGUUGAAAAGUGCGGGGAUGAGGUGUGGGUAGCGGAGAAAUUCCAAUCGAACCUGGAGAUAGCUGGUUCUCCCCGAAAUAGCUUUAGGGCUAGCCUUAAGUGUAAGAGUCUUGGAGGUAGAGCACUGAUUGGACUAGGGGUCCUCAUCGGAUUACCGAAUUCAGUCAAACUCCGAAUGCCAAUGACUUAUCCUUAGGAGUCAGACUGCGAGUGAUAAGAUCCGUAGUCAAAAGGGAAACAGCCCAGACCGCCAGCUAAGGUCCCAAAGUGUGUAUUAAGUGGAAAAGGAUGUGGAGUUGCUUAGACAACUAGGAUGUUGGCUUAGAAGCAGCCACCAUUUAAAGAGUGCGUAAUAGCUCACUAGUCGAGUGACUCUGCGCCGAAAAUGUACCGGGGCUAAAUACACCACCGAAGCUGCGGAUUGAUACCGAAUGGUAUCAGUGGUAGGGGAGCGUUCUAAGGACAGUGAAGUCAGACCGNAAGGACUGGUGGAGUGCUUAGAAGUGAGAAUGCCGGUAUGAGUAGCGAAAGACGGGUGAGAAUCCCGUCCACCGAAUGCCUAAGGUUUCCUGAGGAAGGCUCGUCCGCUCAGGGUUAGUCAGGACCUAAGCCGAGGCCGACAGGCGUAGGCGAUGGACAACAGGUUGAUAUUCCUGUACCACCUCUUUAUCGUUUGAGCAAUGGAGGGACGCAGAAGGAUAGAAGAAGCGUGCGAUUGGUUGUGCACGUCCAAGCAGUUAGGCUGAUAAGUAGGCAAAUCCGCUUAUC
rnacentral:rRNA from 1 species